rnacentral:tRNA from 1 species
GCCCGGCUAGCUCAGUUGCUAGAGCAUGGGACUCUUGAUCUCAGGAUCAUGGGUUUGAGCCCCACGCUGGGAG